GAUGAACGCUGGCGGCGUGCCUAAUACAUGCAAGUCGAGCGAACGGACGAGAAGCUUGCUUCUCUGAUGUUAGCGGCGGACGGGUGAGUAACACGUGGAUAACCUACCUAUAAGACUGGGAUAACUUCGGGAAACCGGAGCUAAUACCGGAUAAUAUUUUGAACCGCAUGGUUCAAAAGUGAAAGACGGUCUUGCUGUCACUUAUAGAUGGAUCCGCGCUGCAUUAGCUAGUUGGUAAGGUAACGGCUUACCAAGGCAACGAUGCAUAGCCGACCUGAGAGGGUGAUCGGGCACACUUGAACUGAGACACGGUCCAGACUCCUACGGGAGGCAGCAGUAGGGAAUCUUCCGCAAUGGGCGAAAGCCUGACGGAGCAACGCCGCGUGAGUGAUGAAGGUCUUCGGAUCGUAAAACUCUGUUAUUAGGGAAGAACAUAUGUGUAAGUAACUGUGCACAUCUUGACGGUACCUAAUCAGAAAGCCACGGCUAACUACGUG
rnacentral:rRNA from 1 species